GUGCUUUGUUUUAUCAGCACAUACACUGCCAAAUUGGAACAAUACAGAGAAGAUUAGCAUGGCUCCCUGCAUAAAGGCAUGUUGCGAAUGAAAUGUCUCUUU